rnacentral:tRNA from 1 species
GGUGGCAUAGCCAAGUGGUAAGGCACAGGUCUGCAAAACCUUCAUCGUCGGUUCAAGUCCGACUGCCACCU